GCGGGUGUAGUUCAAUGGCAGAACGGCAGCUUCCCAAGCUGCACACGAGGGUUCGAUUCCCUUCACCCGCUCCA
rnacentral:tRNA from 1 species